GGAAUAUAAGUGCGCCUUACAUAGCUUGUCGAGAAUAAGACUUGUUUUGUUAAUGUUGAUGAUAACGCAUCAAGCCAGGUGAACGAUGUUCUUAUUAUAUCUAUCUUUUGUAUUUAACGUCGCUACUGGCAGCAAUCAUCAGGCCCCCGAUCCUUCUUCCGUGCACUACAACACUACUUGGCAAGACUUAAAAGAGUUUUUGGGGACGAGUGAAGAAAUUUGGCUCACACAGUGCAGUUUUUAUAUGCAUGGAAUCGAUUGCGUUUAUUGGACACCAGACUGUCAAAAUCUGACGGACUACUCUUUUUACGAAUGGUACCGAAAGAAACCGCAACGGUGAGUGGAGAAAAGAUUACAACUGA
rnacentral:lncRNA from 1 species